CUCAUGUUACAGCUCCAGCCUCCCGGUGUGAAGCCAAGACUUGUACUAAAUCAUGAAUGGAUAUUAGGCAGGUGGGGUGAAAGCCAGGGCACCUCACAGCGUGCUCCUGCUGGUGCUGCUGCUGCUCUGCUCCGUCCUCCUGCACCCACCGCAGCUCUUCCUCCUUCCCGGGGCUGCAGAUCCUGCAGAGCACCCACGGCUGCUGCCGGUGCCCCUCAGCUCAGGACAUCCGGCCCUCAGAAAGUGCAGAAAGCCCCGAAUUGCGUGAAGAAAAUGAGGAAUGAGAAGGGCUUCAGGACUCGGAUUACCCCCAUGAAAUCUCUCCCUGUCCCAAAGCACGUCCUGCGCGCUGGCUGAGGCAGGAGAAGUGUUCCAGUCUCUAUUGAAACCUGCGACUUCCACCACCCCUUUGGUGGCUGGGAAUGGCGCCCAGACAUGAAAUAACGAACUGAAACCCCUCCACGCGUUGACCAAAGAAAACAAGCUGUCAAACAGAAAUAUCCCCUCGCUCCUUUCCGAGGCGGACCCAAUCUCGUUCCCAUCUGCAGGCUGUGCGGCGCUGGGAAGGCAGCAUGAGGAACUCAGCAUGAAAUCGUCAGCGACGGCGUGCGGUGCUGUUUGUGCAGCAUAAAUCAGUCUGGGGAAUGAAGAGCCCCAUCUUCUUUCUUGCAGGGUGACGUUUUCCUCCAUGUCAGUGCAGGGUAGGAAGAUCAAGAUCUCUCUCAGUGACCAAGGGAGAAGAACUUUUGGUCCACGUGCGUGUCUUGCAGUGGGGGAUCCCAAAUGAAGCCCCGUGUCCUGCAGCUCCUGGAAAUGCCACAUCAGAAACAUUCCUGCUACUGGGAAAAACACUUUGAAGACCAGGAAAACUGCAGACUUCAGUUGUUCUUUGUGGCUUCUGCAAUUUUUUCCUGGUGAGGUACAUUGCACGGAAAACCGUCGUGCCCGAUGUGGUCAGCAUUCUUAUUUACCAUAAGCAGAGCAGUUACACAUUGUUAAAUUAUUAUUAGCUUAGCUACCACUGGGAGGGUUGCCUCAGCCCUGCCAGCAGGGCUGAAACAAAUACCCACUGUUGCACACAGUCAACCAGCAAUGAGUUGCAUGGAUGCCCAGAACGUGUCUUGCUGCACGGCUGUCCCCCCAGGCAGCAGCCCUUGAGGAACACAGGCUGAGCUGGGAUCUCUUGCAAUGGGAUGGGUUGAACGUGUGGAUGCUUUGGAGCUGAAUCUGAAUGUUCUCAGUGUGAGCCUUCGUUCACCCGUUGUGUCAGCCCAUCCAAAGCUGAAGAAUUCACUGCCAAAGGAAAUCUGGAGCUAAAUUCUCAAUUCCAAGCUCUGACGCUGGCAAUAUUUGCACCAAGAAACCUGACAAAAUUCAGGAAGUUUUUUAUGGCCGAUUCUUUCUGCCUGGAUAGAGCUCGUGCCAACAACAAUAUCAGCUCUGUGAAAGAAUUUUAUGGUGUUUUGCUGUGCCUGUGCCAUGGGAAAAAGGGGCAAGGAUGGACUUUACGGGGUGUUUGUAGAAGGACGAAGCACAUCGUCCUCACCCAAAGGGCAGCCAUCAAAGCAAAGCUGUGGCAGCAGGCAGUUCUUCUGCUCAGCCUGAACGUGCAGGGAGCAUCCCAUGGCUGGGAGGUGACUGCAGCCUCCACAGCACUGCUGUAGGCAGACAGCUGAGACGUGGCAUUCUGCACAAACCAGUGGCUGACUCCAGGCUGGGCCGCGUCCCCCAUCCCAGCACCUCAACACUGACCCCCCCAGGAUUGCUCAGCAAUUAACUGUGUGCUCCAUGGGUGAAAUGCGUGAAGUCUUGUGACAGCCACCUCGUCCCACAAGGCAGGGGGUGCUGAGAAAGACAAAACAACCCGCUCCCUCUCCUCUCUCAUUAAAGCAAAUGUCAUCGGCUGUGAUCAGCCUCUGUGUACAUGCACACAGCCAGCAGGAGAAAAUCAAACAUCAAAAGGGAAAGAAAAGAAAAAGAGACCCGAACAGGAUAUUGACAUCAUUGGGAGCUCUGCGAAUGGAGAUGAAAUGUAAAAUGAAGUUGCAAUCUGGCUGAUAGAAGUUGAGGACACGUUAACCCUUGGGCAGACCCGCUGCUUGCAGGGGUGGGAGGAGAGCUGCUUCCAUGGGCACCUGGGCUGCGAUUUGCUCUGGAAUGUGGGAGGAAUCUGACACCCAAAUUGCUUGGGAAGUUGGACACGUCCUGCCAUGGGCUGCUCGGGAAUUGCCAGUUCUCAUUAAUCUCUGCUGUGGAUCUGACAAGUCAGCUGGAGGGAAAUGGUUCAUUUCAUUUUCUUCUCAUCGAGAUUUUCCCACCGCUCUUUCCCUCCCCGUCUGUCCCACUGAUGAGGCAAGAAAAGGAUGACAAAGCAGAAAGCGAGGGAAGAUGCAGGGUGAACGUUUCCGCCGGGAUGUUUAAUGAUGAGAAAGGAAAGAAAGCACCAAAAGAAGUUCCUGACGGAAAAUUCCUCACAGCUUUCAUGUCGCAGCCCCUGACCUUCAGCUGCCCAUAAACACCCUGCAGCCACCCCCAGCACGUUCCCAGCAGCCCGGUGGGGCUCUGCAUUGAGCCACCCUUCCACCAGCAAAGCUCAGACUGGGAAUUCAAACCCCAAAUCUGGCUGUGGGGUGCCAGCAGCCAAACACAGCCUGGUUCAGCACCCCGUGCUCUGGUACCCCAAGGGGCCAUCAUUCACCACCACAUGUGAUGUGUGGUGUGGGCACACACCUUCAGAAACCCUCAAAACCAAAUAAGAUAUCACUGUCGAUAGGAGUUCUGUGAAUAGAGAUGAGGUAUAAAAUCGAAACAAGUAUUUCCUUAUGGUCUUUUUUGUUUAUUUACUUGGGGAAAUAACCAUGCACGGAGCUGGCAUCAAGGACUGGCUUUUCAGGCACAUUUUUAGCUAACAGAAUAAAGGGAUUUAUUUCUGCAGUGAAGAAACAGAGGAAUAACUUGUAAAGGCACUCUAAUUCCAUCCAUUUGGAGCUGACUGUAGCUCUGAAGCAGCCGCAGAUAACUUAAGAUGUUGCAAGUUCAGAAGGGAUUUUUAUCUCUCUGUUUGGAGAAGCAUCGCCUUGACUUCAUCGGCACAAUCUCAGUGUGAGGCUGUAGUUUAAAUAACAGGAAGGAAGAGCAGCUGCCCCGGGUCCAAGUUUGCCCCAGGAUUUGGGAUAAAGGCCGGGCUGCCAAGCAGGGGGUCCCAAACCCCAUAGCAGCCCCAUCCCACGUGCUCUGGGGCUAUGGAGGGAUGCGGGGGACGGUUGGAUCAGAACAUCGCUGCCAUCCAGGGGAUCUGGGCAUGAAGUGUACAGGGAAGCCCUGAUGGAAGAAAACAGAGCAAUGCCAUGCUGAGCUUCCCAGAGCAGAGCAGGGUGAGCAGGUCCUGGCCCUGUGCUGCAGCCCCACUCAGACCAGUCUAUGUCUCGGUCGCUGUCUGCUCCCUGUGCCAGCUGUUAACCAGCACCACUUGCUCGGCCUGAGCUGACCCAGCCAAUACCUGGAAUUAAUGAAACAAAAAGGCCAUGAAGCAAGGAGCUGUUGUUACCUAAUGUGUCUCAUCCCCUGAGCAACGUGUCCAUCAGCACGGUGCUGCGCAUCAGGAGGGGAAGGAGAUUUGGGUGCCUCGCUGUGUGCUCAGCAGCUCGGAUCCCCUCUGCUGCUUCACCUUUCUAACCUGCAUCUCUUCUGCUGUUUUUAUAGAAACAGCCUCAAUUAUUCCCACCCUGUUCUAGCAGGCCUAGGGCCAAGCUGCUUAGCUGCAGGUUUUCCUGCUCGUGAACAGCAAGCAACACCUAUCCACGCAAUGCAGAAGAAGCAUCCCAGUGGGUUUGCAUUUGCGCUUUGCUAAAGACAGUGCUUUUGGGGCUGAAUUUCACCCAGGAGAGGCAGCAGGAGACUCUGCAGUGCUCAGCACCGGGCAGGAUCGGGGCUGCACAUCACUCUGCCACUCAGCCCUGGGAUCCCAUCUGUGGGAUAGCAUAGGGCCGGUGACACGGGACUUAUGGAGCUGUGUGUUUCAACAUACAUUUUCCAAAAGCUAUUUCAUACGUUCCAUCACGCCGAGUAAUGCGCUGGAAACCAUCCAGGCUUGGGGAUGUUUCUGUAAACGCAUCAUCUCUGCCCUUCCACUGCUUUUGCUGUGAGCAGAGGGGACCCGGUGCUCCCCCCUCCUGCUGUGGGAGCUGGGGAUGCUGCGAGGACCUCUCUGCUCCUUUGCAGUGCAGCCCUUCGUUUUCACUCUGCUUUCACAGCAGCGUUUCAUAUGGUCUGUGUCUUGAUUUCCUAGAAGCAUCCCUGCACUUCUCUGGCUAUGAAAACACCCCCACGAUGUCCUGCACGUACAGACUCAUAUAUGCAGCACACACACCCACUAGAUGGCUGUUUUCUAGCUCUUUAUUUGAUUGAAUUGUUACCAGAGGGAGGUGACAUUUUCUCACAAAGCUUUUUCUACUGCAAAAUUCAGGCUUAAAGACACCAGACUGCUCAUAAAGUGUGUAUCAAACCCGCCUAUUUCAUCAGGUAGAGAAAGCAAAACAUUAGGAGAUAUUCAGGAAUAGCUGGAGAUACACCUAUAGAACCAGCAAAUGGAUAUAUGGGAUGGGUUGAAAAUGCCAGAACUGUUAGGUUGGGAUCUGUUUCUAAAGAAGAAAAAAGAGAGUAAAUCUUGGAAUGAAACCUGGAUGCUUUGUUCAAAGCCAGGCAGAUGUGUUCCAUCUGGGUAGGAGGAGGUAUUCAAAACAAGGCCUGAUUGUUUUCCAGCAGUUUCUAAAUUGCCAAAAAAAGCCAAAUCAGCAUUGGUUCUUACAGUCUGAUAUUCAAAUCCACCCUUAUUGUGCCUAAAACACAAAGUGGCCAUUGCUUGGCACUGGAGGGGCAUGCAGAGAUGUUUUAUAUAGUACAGCGAGCACAGAAUGGCACGUUGCCCUUCAGGGUCUGUUUCAUUAGAGCCAGAAGGAAAGGACAGUAAGUGAGGGUCGUGUUCCUAUUUGAAUCUAACAUUCCACCAAUGUCUUUGAUUGCAUCCAAGCAGAGGUGGGCAUUCUGCUGCGUUUUACUCUCCUGCUGUAAACAUGAAAUAUUACUUUUAAUAGAUCUUUUCCCCUCAGAAAAAGAGGCUGAACACAUGUAAUUAGAGCAACAGGCACGUGUCUGCGUUCAGGGAGACAUCCCCAUAAAGGCAGUUGGCAUUCUGAGCAGUCUCGAGUUAAAUCUGAAGGCUGGAUCUAUCCAUCACCUAUUUUAUCAUGAAUGCUAAUUGGAGUCUGAGGGCCCUUUGAUGGAAGCAACGCGGCAAACACAGCGUGUACCACUUCCUCCAAUUUCCAGAAAGCAAUAGGCACGUGAAGUGGACGUUGGGUUUAAUUUAUACUGUGAGAAUCCCUCGCUGCACAAUGCCUCCAUUUCCAGAUAUUAUUAACAGAGCCGGAGCGUCCUUCCAUGUGUGCUGGUGGAAAGGAACGAUAAAUCAAGCAUGCUUCUGGGACGAUUGCAAAACCUCCGUGCAACUUGACUCACAGUCUAAAAAUGUGCUUGUGGAAUGGUUGUGGUUGCAUCACGUAGGUGCUGCAAAGCAAACACCGAUUUGGAGAACCUCCUCUCCCCAUCCUCGCUUCCUUGCAGCACGUGGCCAUACGUUUUCUGCCCUCUCCAGGAGCUGCUGGAUGCUGAAAGAGCAUCCCUGGGAUCGAUGGUCCUCUCCUUUCUGCUACCACAGCAGCGAGAAGGGAACUCGAACUGGGAUCAAAGAGGCUUGGUUUGGCUCCUGAGAAGAGAAUGAAGAAGGGAAGGGACAGGAGGAGCACAUCUGGAGGCUGGUGCAUGGCUGCGUGGCCUUCCCCUCCAGCGAGCAGCGUUUGGAGAGGAAAUUGCCUUGUGGAUAGCUGAUAUGGGUGUUUGCUCAGGGAGAGCGGUGCGCCUGGGCAGGGAAAGGAAAUUCCUGGAUGCCAAGUCAAAUAUAGGGAAAAGAAAGCAGAUUCUGCAAGAAUAACUAUAUGCUGGAGAGAGAAGUUGAGCAGCCAGUAACUGGCCGGGCAAUGGGUUUGGGCAUGUGGGUGGUGGUCCAAGGGUUGGCAUGCAGCACAUCCCAGUACACCAAUAUCCCAGAAUCCCCACAUCCCCAAUAACCCAACAUCCCAGCACCCCAACAUCCCAGCAUCCCAAUAUGCCAGCACUGCAGCAUUCCAGUGUCCCACUGCAGCCCUUGGGCUCCGCUCGCUGCCCAGCACUGCACUCGGGAACGCAGACAUGGCCAUUCCAUGUGGCUGGCUCCAUUCUUUUCUGGUUUUUUCCAUUUUAGGAGCUAUCCUGCACCAGCUUCUUUAUCAGUAGUAAAGAAGAAAAAGAAAGGAAAAAGGCACAAAGUAAAAAAAAGCAAAGCAAAACAUAACCACAGCGUUUUCCGUGACCCUUCUCUGGCCUCUGCUUACACAAAAAAAUCCUGGCAUCCAUAAUGAUCAGGCCUUUGAUUGAACGACAUUUUAAUUCGGGAUAUAUUAAAACAGCAUGUUUUCAAAUGAGCGGUCCCAGAGCAGAAGGGGAAGAGCAGGCUCCCCAGAACCUCUCCAGCUUCAGAGUCACAAGCUGUGCCCCAGAUGCCAUCACGGCAGCUUUGAUAGGCAGGCCCCUUGAUUUAAAAUAGGGCAGGGGGGGGGUUGGCUAAUUGAAACCAUUGUGUUAUGAUAACCAAAUGUCUUCUGCCUUUUGCAUCUCCCAUAGAUGGCAAUGCAUAUUGAAAAAGACAUAAUAAUGCCACGUCCGUUUUCAGGGAGAGAUCAAAGGCUCUCCUGGAAAGAGGAGCCCAGUUGUCCCCCCCAAUGCAUCUGGGCUGCAGACAGCCAGUGGUAAAGGCGACUUCAUUCAUCCGCGGGGCAGAGGAAUGCUGUCUGGGUGCUUUGAAAAGUGCAAGGGCUGGUGGAGGGAGGAAAAAGCUCUGUGUAUGGGAACAGGGUGGAUUUAUGGCCCUCAUGCUGCAAUGGGGUCCUGUGGCUUCACUGUGCAUUUUGGCACAGCUGGCGCUGCAUUACGCAGGAGGCUGAGAGUGGGCUGCAAUGGGAGCAGCAAUCACCCAAAGCAGAGUCAGUGGCACAGAACGACCAAACCCAGGGUGAGCAGCAUCCUUAGUUGCUGCCUGCAGAACGGUAGCCCCGAGCUUCCAAUACGCUCCAUGAAAGCAUCCUCAUGGGGGUUCAUUCUAUCACCCCGUCCACGGUUUCUGGGCAGCUCUGCCCUAUUUGGCUCCAGCUUGAAUUUGGACCAGAGCAGGUGGAUGGAGUGAAGCUGCCCCUGCAGCUGUGGGCAUCCUGCCUUGGUGCAUCAGGAUCAUUGUAGCAAAAUGUGCACCUCAUGGGCUGCCCUGAUGUAUUGCUCUGCAGAACAUCUGCAGCUGCCAGCAGGGCUCAGGGUGCCUCCCAGGAUGCUGCUCCUGGAGGUACUGUGGAGGAAAAAGGGGCAGGUUUGGCUGAUUUUAGAAGGCAUCUAAUUGCACCAGAUGGUACGGGCAUGUUUAAUUCACCCUCCAGAGAGGCUGACCUGUGAGCCACCUAACGUGGCUUUAUUGCUUUUCCCUGCAUACCCAGCAAAUCUCUGAGUGCAAGAACUCUGCUUUGUUUGCAUGUACAAUGAGACAUUGGGAAACACCUGCCCAUCGCUCAGCAGACGCUCAGCCCGCUUGCAAAUACAUUUUAAGCCAUAAUUAAAAUGACAUGCCAUCUUCUCCUCGUACUACACAAGCAGAAGUAUGGCGUAUGGCCUCCAGAAAUCCAGAAUAACUCAAAGCAGAACUGGUUUGUAUGCUUAAUCAGACUGUGUGCUGAAUGCAGAACAUAACAACAACAAAAAAAACCAAUUAAAAAAAACCCAAACAACCCCAAACCUUUAUUAAAUGCACAGCACUGAGUGGGGACUUCUGCUCAACGUUGAUUGAGACAUUGGAAAAUUCAGCCCUCGUGUUUCAUCAGCUGCACUGAAAUACUUCGGUGCAGAUGGACAGAGCCCAGAUGGCAACCUCGGCUGCGGAGCAUCUCUGCCCCAACCAUAUGCUGCUCAGAAGGGGAAGGGAUGCAGGGUUUGCUUCGUAGCUUUGGGACUCGCUGGUGCCACGUGGAGCUCAGAGCUGCUCAUUUCCACCCAACCCGCGCUAUGGUGACACGGUGGGGACGUGGCACUGCUGUCCUGCAGUGGGAAAAAGGCAUGGCAGGGAGCCAGGGAUGCACACACUGCGGCUUUGUGGGGCCACUGAUUGAGGCAGAUAGCGAUGUAAUCGGGCCAACACACACUGUCAGGGGGAGGGCUGUUUGGUACUGCGGGUUGAGCACUUUCUGCAAGAACAGGAGGGCUUUCUUUUUGAGAACACGAUAGCUGAGCAAACACCUCCAGCAGAAGUCUGUAUAAGUUUGAAUCUUGUCUCAUCCCUGAGAUGCUGCUGUUUGCAUGCAUGAAUUGGCCUUCUUUCUUCCUUCCACAGCCUCGUGAGACAUUCCGUGGAAGGUGGCAAGCAUUGGAUGAGUAACAUUUCCCCAUAGUGCAUUAAUCAACGCCUGCUUGGCCAAGCAGCAGUCAGUGUGAGAGGAGGACGAGUUGGGCUCCCAGGCACACGGGGAACUGCUGAGACAAAGAUUGCACACAGCAGCACCACAGUGACAAAGCUGCCUUGGUUCAGCACCCAGGGGCACUGCCACAAUCCCAGCUCAGAGAUGGGAUGGGAGGUAACAAGGUAUGGUGUGCAACUCGUUGCUGGUUCCAUGAGAGCUUCUCCACGGCGCUCACACAGGGACAUAAAAUGUGAGGGGUGGCCUCUGUCCUCCUGGCACCGUGGUUCCCUGAGUGCAGCUCCCUUCCUUGAGCAGGAUCAGAGCAGGGCUUCGGAGGAUCCUAUGCAGAGAGCAUCCUCCAAGGACGUGUUUUCAAAGACUCUCCAUCUCCCAAAGGCUGAAUAAUCUCAAGAAAGGGCCCAGGAAGAAGUGAAAUCCUCUCCAGAACGGUCAUUUGCAAGAGUGUGUUUCCGUAACCUUGCAUUGUUACAGCAUCACAAGGAUUUGUCUCCUCUUCUGGCUCCAGCACGCAUGUUCCUGGCUCCCAUGGAGGCACUGUGGACAGCCCAUGCCAUACAACGUGCCAGAAACAUGACCUCCCCAUGAACUUCGGGCCAUAUUUUCAAGUCUGCGCCCAGCUCCUUGCAGGCAGGGCUGUCUGGCCAGUGCAUUCUGGCCCUUUUGCAUGGAAAAUGAGCUGUGUCAGCCUUCGUGGCCCACUGGCUUGCCAGCUGCAUCCCUAACAGCACUUUGCAGCCUCCUCCCUCCGUGCUCAACAUGUUGCCUUCACCUGGCACAUGGGACAGCAACGAGGGGACUGUGAGCUUGUCCUCGGUGGCUGGGGCCCAGCUGGCCACCCCCAUCUCCCCACUGCAGCCACCGCACGCUCCUCGAUGCAGCAGAACUCAAUGUACAGCCCUUUUAUUUUUCCUCCUUGGUUUUCCUGUUUCCAGAACAGUUGAAUAUUUUACUUGCAUCGUGCCCCAGUUCCCCAGUUUCCAGCAGGCAGAACAGGGCGAUCUGUACUCACCUCUUGCAGCAGCUGGUGCUUGUUCCCCUGGCAAAACUUCACUUUGGAGCUGAACCCAACAAUGCUGCUGACUCCAACUGAUUCUUUCUCCCCCAGCCUAAGGCACUUUAUGAUGAUAUUAAUAACCAGACACUGAGGUUCAGCACUAAGGAUUUCUUAAGCUUGCUGCUGGGGCUGUGAUUGAGCUUUGUAGCCAUCUCUGCUUCAUCCCAUGAUCCAUCAGGGUUGGUGGGGACACCCAGACCUCUUUUGGGAAGUCCCUCCACAGCUCCUCCCUCCCAUAGCACCCAUGGGGUCAGGGGCAGACCGGGUGCUCCCAGACCUCUUUCCUGUUCUGCCCUUAAUACAUCAAAGGGAGAUCUCUUGUUCGAUGGUUCUCUAUUAACCCUAUUCAUGAGUCUUUUAAUUAGUGUUGCCUUCUGCUAAGUAAUCGCUUCAGCAUUAGCUCCUCUGGGGCAAUGCAGAGCUGCAACAGGGCACUGCAGGAGCUGCAUGCUGCUGUUCUGCUUUCUGGACCUGCUCCUGCUGGCAACUAUGCCAUUCCUUUUGCACAGACCGCACAGUGCCAGAGCAGCCCACUAAAACUUGCAAAGAAAAGCAGAAAGAAGCAUCUGAAACCCCACCAGGAGCUGCGGCAGGUAGAGUUCUAUCCUUACAUCUGGGAAACCUCCAGCUCAGCUCAAUCCUGCUGAUGCACUGCUAAGGGGAGCUUUGUAGUGGCCCUAUUCAAAGCACUCAGCUCUGGGGGCAUGUUUCCCCCAGCACCCAGGAGUAAUGUUUCCUUUGUUAAUUCAGGGUCCCCACCAAUCUGCAUCACCCCAUGCCUGGAGGCAGAGCUGCCAUGGCUGCCUUUUAUCCCCUGCAUCCUCCGGCAGAGCUCACAAAGUGGUACUUUGUACCAGAGCAAGAAACAAGAGACGUGAGCUGUAAUACAGGAGAGAGAGAAAAAAAAACCCUCAUCUCACCCCUUGUGUUUUUCCUGGAAAUGUCACUGCCCUUAAUGCAUCAAAUAAUUAGAAUCACUUCUCCCCUUUUGUUUGCCUUGGCCCUCACUGCUCGCAUUGAGUGGGCCAACAUAAACCUGUGCGCACCACAGGAAUUUUGGGCACAGCCCAUUCUGCAGUGUUGGGUGCAGGGGGAGAAGUGGCUGCAGGAGCUUUGGUUCUGCUCCAUAUGUCUCUGCUGCUGUGGGCACUGCUGGGCACAGAGCUCCCGUAGAGAGGACCUCACUGCAACGCUAGCGCUCAACCAAGUGCUGGUCCCAAUGGAAAUCCACUGUCCUGGAGAGAAGCAGCAGCAGCUGAUGCCCAUUUAAUGCCAAAAUUGCAGAUUUGUGUUUGACCUGAGUGGUGGGUGUGAGCGUGAUGCUGGCGGGACAGAUGGGUGGAUAGCUCUCUGAAGUCCCAGUGGGAUGUUAUGCUUGUUGCUCUGUAGUUGUAGCCUUCUCCUCUGGGUGCUGGGGAGUGCUCCGAGGUGACGUGGGAGAACAUAUCCCUUGUGAAUGCUGGAAAGCUGUGCUGGGUGAGGUGGCAUUGCACCACUAAUCCACGCACAGAGGAGCCCAGCACCCCCUCAGCACCCCUUACAGACACAGAUGGACACAGCCAGCAUCACAGCCCAGCUGGCUGCCUGCCCCCAGCACCGCUCCCAUGGGCUGCAUGUAUGUCAAUGGGUUAUUAAAGAAACGGAUGGGGGAUUAGCUGUGCUGUAGGUAGAGACCCCAUUCAGAUUUGCUAAGUUUCAGCAAGUAUGUUUUCAAUAAUUGGCUGGUAUUUGUAAGAAAUGAAUAAAACCUAGGCUACUAAAGCUGGUCCUUCUCUUAUUAUAAGGCAUUUAUUGCAUGCUUAGAAGCAUAUGUCUUCAAUAUCUGAAGCAAAGGAAAGUAAUAUAUAAGGAUCCCUUCUUAAACACAAAUAUAUGCAGCCAUAAUCACAAUUAUUAGCCACCAUGAAAUAGCUAAGAAACUGAAGAAGCCCCAUCAGCAGCAGCUUUACAACUAGGGGUGCAUAAGAAAUAAAGACAAAGGCGAGAAUUGCCCUCUUAGCUGUGCGAGACUCCACAAGGCAGAGGAAGGAUCAGCUUUGCUGAGGAGUGUUGGCAUCUCGGAGAAGGUUCACAGAUGAAGCCAAUGGAGAAGGGUGUGCAGGAGCGGGGCAGGGAAUUGGGAAGCAGCGCUGCUGCUGGUGGUUGUAUCCUUCUGAAGAAAGAACACUGGAAAACCAAAGCUACCUGUCACUGCUGCUGUUAUCGCAGAGGUAUUUGGGAGAGGGUGAGCGAAUGUUUCUGUAGAACUGCGUGCUGAUUUAUUGGUACGGAGGGAGGUGCAGCGGGGAAACCACUGUGCGGAUCGUUGGCGAGGAGGGGCACGUGGUUCUCCAAAGAUUUUUGUCUGAAAACGCAAUCAGCUGAAGUCAGCGCUGCGCCGAGGGUCUGAGCAGAGCUCGGUGCUGCUCAAGGAGGCACUUUCAUGUAAGAGGGAAGAAAUGGGCCCUGGCUCGGUGUAUAUCCCUGUUGGUCUUCUGAACACUUCGCAUUGUGUCUUCCUCCUCACUGCACCGCCCUGAAGCACAUACAGAAAAUGAUUGCUGAAAACGGGGCGUCCGCGAGUCACAAUGAGCGCAAUUAAACCAUGGAACGGAUUCCCCAGGGAUCUCACGCAUCCUUGGCUGCUUGGAGGAGCCUCAGGGCGGGCUGCAGCAGCUCCUUCCCUUUGGUGGAGCAGCGCUGUUCCUCCUGGGAUUUGCUCCAAACGGACAGCUCUGCUCUGCUCCAGCUGCUCGGUGGGUUUCUCUCCAGCACGUUGCUGGUUUGCACAUCGUUUCAAGCCUGCAGCUGUUAUCGGGCUGUUGGUUUGAGCGUUGUUCACUUCCAAUCCCUGCCUCAUUGCAGGGGGAGACCAUCCCUGGAGAUCCUCCCCUCUCCCAUCUCCAGGGCACCGAUCCUCAGCCACUCUGAGCGCAAUGCAGACACCACACAGCUCAGCAGGUUUCAGUGCCUCUGCCACCAACUGCGACUCAAAUCCAAAGCGAUUUGGCUUUGUUUUGUUUCUAAGUUGCUGCUCGAGCUUUCUUGGCUCACAGGCAGAUUUUCUCUUCCAAGGUUUCAGUGGUGGAGGGCCGUUUCCCUAAUCCCCAAUAGUUUGAGAUUAUCUCCAGCCAACAAUUAAUCAGAAUCAGAAUUUUGCACUGCUUGCCUGUGCUGCCGCAUUGAGUGCAUGUAAAACCCUCUGUUUCCUCUGAAGAAAAGCAUGUUCUACUUUCCUAUGUUGCCUCCAGUCUCUUUAGCUGUCAGGGCACUCGGUGUCAUACCAGGAUGCUGAAUGGGCCAAAGGAUGCCUUAAACAUACCACUCAAACAGGCAGAAAGUGGAUUCAGGAAGGCUCAACACGAGCUGAAAGCUCACUGUUUAGGAAGCAUCUCUGCUGGGGUGAGGGUUGGCUCUUAUGGGUUUGUGUUGUGGACUCAGCACUUGGGCAGCUUUGUUUUGGUGCAUGGAAUGCUCAGAGGCGUUCUCUGAGUGCUGUGUUUGGGUAAUAGCCAAAAAUGAACCCAGUUAGCUAAUGGAAAUGCAUCCUUCCUCCUGUGCUGGGACUGCGUUGCACUGAGUGAGUUGGAAACAGCACCAGAAGUGAUGUCUGACUGCUGCAGAUCCCAAACCCUCAGUCAGGCACUGCUCUGUGGAUGAGCAGGAUGGGCACAGCUGGAUCUGCUCCUCAAGGAUCCGCUGCAGGUGUGUGACUGGGGAAUUUUUCCCAACCACUCAACCUUCUGACAGGGCUUCCAUCAGCUGGAGCUGCCUCUCUCUUCCAGCAUCUCUUCAGGCUGAAAAGAAAUCAUAUUUCCUGAAGCAACACCAAACAGGGAAGUGGUGCCGCUUUGUCACGUCCAAUUUCAAGUAGCUCUUCUCCUUAAGCUGCUCACAAACAAGCGAGGAGGUUGUAACACACAGCUUCUUUCAGACACGAUUCUCUCCUGCUGAGCCCCGAUCUCUUGCUGUCUGCAGCUCUGUGCUCUAUAGAUGGCACACGAUGCCAGCUCUGCCUGGCAGCCACAAGCUGAUGGGAUUUGUAUUUGUCCCAUCACCCCAUGAGCUGUCACAGGGGUGGAUCCCACUCCCUCCUGGCACUUGCUGUCUGCUGAGGACUCCCGUGUUAUCACUGCUGUCAACUUCCAAGCUGCGUUUUAUAUGGGAAGGAAAGCUGCCAGGCUGCUCUGCGAGCCAGUAGGUAUUCUUGGAGACAAAACAUUCAGCCUGGACCCAGCACUGGUGGUUAAGCUUUAUUUGGUUCUCAUUUCCUUGAGAACUGGAUGCUCCUCUCCGUCUGUCAGCUCACAAAGCUGGGUCAGGCCGGCUGCAUCCUCUGCUCCAAAGCAAGGACCCCAAAAGGGAUCAGCUCCCCUUGACAUCAACGGGUUCUGGAUUGGGCCCCGGGCAAAGGCUCUCAAGAACGUGCUGCAGUUUGGGAAGCGGAGAAGCUGCGGUUUAACAUGGGAAUAGUUGGAGCAAGAAAAAUGUUAUUACCAAAACUCAGCUUAAACCAAGAGUACCGCGAGGUCAAACGCUGCAGCCAGUCACAAACACAGUGUUCUUGAGGAUUGUUAUACUGGAGUUACAGGAGACAAGGUGCUUUCGUGGUAAAUGGAAAACGCAGCUCGGCAGAGAGGAGGAAGCUGCAGCAAAUGCACUGCUGAUGUUAAGCUGCUGCCUCCCUGGGGCCAAGCAGCAGUGCAUGACUGGGAACGUCCCAUCCGUGGGUCAGCAGCUGGACACCUCCAAGGCAGGGACCCCCCAGCCCCUCUUAAAGCUCUCUUGAAUGAUCCCAUGCUGCAGAGAGUACUACUCUGUACAAACGUAUACAAACGUAAGUACAUCCAUAUACUUGGCUGAGAUGUAUAAACUCUGCAAUGGACUUUGGAUGUAAGUGUGGU
ensembl:lncRNA